rnacentral:lncRNA from 1 species
AUAAACCUAAAGUAUCUAAGAUCGUUUCGGAAAAUCGACGACAAAGUAAAUGAAAAUAAGCAAAGGGAGAUUCAGAUUAUAUUCUCUGUCUUUUUGGUAUAUUCAUAAAACUUGAGAAACUAAAAUACUAACACAAGCUGACAUCAAUGACAACAGAAGUAAAAGGACAUGAAUGUAACAUGACAAGGACACAUAUAUAACUAUCAAACAUGAACAGAGGGAAGAAACAAGGUUGUUGGACAGAAUAUAUGUAUCAUAUCAAAGACACACACAUAUGUAUAUAAAUCACCCACAUUUAUCUCACAAGAACUUGAACUAAUACGUGGACUACAAAACUGAAUAUAUUUCUACAGAAAAGGGAACACACUGUGACAACACAUACAUGAACUGGAAUUAAAAUACAAAGGGUGAACACGCAUAAGUUCUAACAGAACACUAAUUACCAAGCCAAAAUGUUAGACAUCGCUUUGUUUCGAAAGAAAAGAAAUCCACUAUUCAGAACAUAGAAUUCAUGACAUGAUAUUUAACAAGUACAAACUGAACAAACUAAUUGGUUGCAAACGCUUAUCAAAAUCUGAACCUUACAAGACCUACACCACUCCUAUUACAGAAAAUUCAGAGUACGGUAGCAAGAGAACGGAGAGAUUCAAAGAUUAAUUCCUAGUCAAUCUUCAGGCUUGCAGCUGUAGAUGGUGUAGGUGAUGGAGAAGAUCAACAGGGGGCGAGUUGGAGAAGGAGAGGUACAGCAGUAGAGGGCAGAGCAGCAGCGAGGUAGGGAGAAGAAAGAGCAGCAGGCUGGGGUUCAGAGAAGAUUAGGAGCAUCAACUAGAGGCAAAGGAAGAAGAGAGGAGCGACAGGAGAAGAAGGAAACAACAACAUGAUGAGGGGAGGAGUAGCAGCGUGAGAGAUCAGCAACAGGGCGCGGUAGAAGAAGAGCAGCAACAAAGGGAUUGAAGGAGGAGGAGAGAGGUGGAGGAGCAGCGAGGGGAAGAAGAAGGGCAGCAGCGAGGCAGGGGAGGAAGAAGGCAGCGGCAGAAGGCAAGGUCGCGCGGGGCACCAGACCCCUAGUCUGGUAGGGCGCGCGAGCGAUGGUGGUGAAGAGGUGGCGCUGAUGGAUGGUGCAGCGGCGCGAGGUGGUGAUGGAUUGGAUGGAUGGUGGUAUAUGGAGUUGCUGGUGGACGAAGGGCGCGGUGGAGCGGUGGCGCGCCCCACGCUGGCCUGGCUGUGGCGGCGGCUGAAGGUGGAGAAGGAGACAAGAGGGGAGAUGUGCCAGGCCCCAUUGGAUCCCUCCAGCGCCUAGGGAUUUUGUUCCCCUCCCCUCAUCUGAACUUUGUGAUUUGGCCAUCUUACUUCUCUUCUUUCUUCACAAGAAGAUCCUCCUACUUCUUUAGCUUGCCCCUGGUAACUUCUUUUCUUCUCGCACAAGUCCAUUCUUCCUCCUCCUCUUCAUUCUCUUAGCCACUAGUCCGGAUCUUGAAGUUUAUAGUGCCUUUGCGCACUUUUCUGCAAAAGAAACACAAUGACUAGUAAAUGAUUCAUUAUAUGAUUUUCAUGCAAAUAUUCAACUAAACUUAGGAAGAAUAGAUGGGCAUAACCCAAUGAAUGGUAUAAUUGUAUGCCAAAAUUAUAUAUAUGAAAUGUGCAUAUCAAGUUCCCCCAAACAUAGAUCUUUACUUGUCUUCAAGUAAAGGCAAAUGACAAGAGCUAGAUGGUGAACAGUGAGCUGACUAGAGAAUGUCCCAGUAAAGUAGAUCUCCAAACAUCGCAUGCUUUGGACUUAGCUAGUGAAAAUCAAUGGUUAAGAGUGCUACAAAGCAAUAGGAUACUAGUAGACUCGAUCAUUUUCAACUUUUACAAUGAUGCAAGAAGAUUAGCAAGUUCAAAUGCUGAUUAUGCCAAAGGUUCCUAAAGAGAGCAUGAUCUUGAGAACAAAAGGAACUUGAAUUAAAUCUUGUGAUCAAAUCACUUAUUUACUGAAAUAAAGCAAUGAUUAUUAUUAUUAGUCUCACCAUAGGAACAUACCACCGAUCCCGAGAACAUGGUAUACACCUGGCUCGAUCAAUUAUUGGUAUUUUUUAGUUUGUCUCCCCAAAGGAACAUACCACCGAUCCCGAGAACAUGGUAUACACCUGGUUCGACAAUUACAUUUUUUAAUAUAAUUAACUCCUAUCCGAUCCAACCAGAUUUCACAAGCCACCGAUCCAGGGAACAUGUCAUGCUACUGUUAGGUAGAUCAGAUAAUUAUACACUAUAAGAUAUUCCUAUUUUAAUGAACAAACACAAGAAUCAUCACUCAACCAGGUCUGGUUCACAUGCUACCAAUCCAAAGAACAUAGCAUGCUAAUCCAUAGUGGUAAGUGAUUGCUCUGAAUGGGAACACAUUAGGCACAAACUCAGCAUCUGACACUUAAUGAUCUAGGUGUAUCGAGGUAAAAGCAGAAAAUGAUUAAGUUUUCUAGUGUACUAGGGAUUUGAGCACUCAAAACUAAUAGUUCUCACUAAUUUCAGCAAAGCACGCAAUAUGUAGAUCACUAGUUUACAUGGCAUUCAACAAUCGGUUCGCAUAUUCUCAUCAAGCACCAUAUGUCAAAUAAAAUUCAGUGGGGCAACAUUUAAGAAAUGGCUUAAUAAGCAACCCAAAUAACAUUUGAUUUCAGCAUGUAUCAAUGGAUGAUAUACUCAGAAUGGGUCAUGAAACAACUCACCGGGCUUUGAUGAUGUAGCACUCGGUUGAUCACUCUCUAAGCUGCAGCUCUUCUCCUUUUGCUUCCUCAUGGAUGCUCCAGCUUCACUCUUCUUCGUGUGUGCCCCCUUGCUUCUCCUCAUCCCCAUGCUCUGAGUCCACCAGGGUCCCAAGGAAUGUCACCUCGAACCUGGUCAACAUGUAUUGAUUCGUGCACAAGCAAAAACCUGAAAAGGCACUCAACCAAAGAGACAAUGCAAGUGGUAGGGAUAAUACCCUCCAAGUCAUCAAUCGAAUAUCCAAUUACAUAAGCAUAGCUAUAAAGCACAUGUUUAGGAUGGUAGAAAUCAGCAAGGUAGACACUAACAUGAGGAUGAAAUUUAUCAUUAAGCUCAAGACUAGUAUGGGAAUAAUAUGUUUCAUUAAGCAUAGGACUAGCAUAAGGAAAAUAAGUGUCAUCAUCGGGAAUGAGAGCAAUGCCACCAAAAGUGUAUGUAUGAUCAUGUCCAAGCAAAUAAUUUUUCAAAUCUAGCUUAAUUGAUGGUAUAACGCAAUGCAAAGUAACAACAAAGAUCUCAUAAGGAAGCAUGUCAUCAAGAGGAUUGGAUAAACCUGCUAAAUCACGCUCCUGUAUGAUGAUGGGCAAAUGCAUUUCCGGUUCUUCAUCUUCAAUCACAUCAACUUCUUUUGCUUCUUCAAGAGUAAUAGAUGAUGAGUCUUCAACUUGAUCACUUUGUUGUUCGAGCUCUGGAUCAUCUUGUUCCUUGUCUUCAAGUAUUUCUUCUUCAAUCUGAGGUCUUUCUUCCUCUGGACUCUUACUAUCUUGCUCAGCUGGAUGUGACGGUAUUGGAACCUCACAUGUAUCAAGGGGAAUCUCGGCAACACUCGGCUCAAGGAGGGAGGAGAUAGUACUGCCAGCGUUGAUGUUCUUCUCAAUCUUCCUUACUUCUUCCACUGGCUCUUUUCCACUCUUGAUCUUCUUCAUUUCCUCUAGUAUCACCGGCCUCAUUGGAUCAUCUUCAGCACUCCAAGUGAACUCAAGACUAAGCAAUGUGAGCUUGUCUAUAUCAUCAAAAUCAUCUUGUGUGGGCACUUGUGUUGAAGGUGUUGGUUGACCAAAUGGAGGACCAUUUAACUCCAUUGGCUAUAUCUCCUGGUGUUGAGGUAUAUGAGUAGGAGGUGAAUAGCAUUGUUGUGGUGCAUAGUUGUUGCUCUCGUCAUUGUACCUAAAUCCCUGCAUUGGAUAACUAGAGGCAAACGAUGAGAUCUCAGGGUUGUUGCUCCUAUAUGACAUAUUCGGGUUUUUAGGCCACCCAUGUGACUAAUUGCUUGCUUUGGUAUGAGCUAUGCUCUUGAGUGAAGCUCAUGCCAAAACAAUCUGGAGGGUGAGAGUAACCAUGCUGACAUUCAGCGGGCGAAUGGCCCUGAAAUCCACAAAUAUGGCAGGUAGGAGCAACAUAAGGAUAGCCUCUAGAAUAAGGAUCAUAAGAGCUAGGCCUAUCCUCAAAAACUAUUUCUCGCUGCUGAGCUAAAUCAUCUAAUCGAUGGGAAAUCUUACUUAUCAAGUCUUGAAUACUUUCCGUGCUGUUUGUAGUGUUGCUCGCAAAAGCAUGAUGAUCUGAAUAGUAAGCCAUAUCUGAGAAGAUGCAAUAACCUGCAGAAUGACCAAGCAAAGAAAGAGAAAAUAACUUGAACAAGGGUUAGGGGUUAGAGAUAUAUCACAUAUAUAUAGCACAAAGGGAAAAACAAGAAAAACCUAGUCUAUAGCCUAACACGGUCGCACGACUCUAGUCCCCGGCAAAGGCACCAAAAUGAUCAGGUGUAAUAUAGCAGGGUUUUUGCGCCCAAACUACGGAUGUGUCGUGUUCUCCACAGGGACUAGGCGACAGUGACUAUGCUCGGCUAAAGCUAGGCUAGACAAUUUAAGUGACGAAUACAGGGAAAAUAAACCUAAAGUAUCUAAGAUCGUCGGAAAAUCGACGACAAAGUAAAUGAAAAUAAGCAAAGGGAGAUUUAGAUUAUAUUCUCUGUCUUUUUGGUAUAUUCAUAAAACUUGAGAAACUAAAAUACUAACACAAGCUGACAUCAAUGACAACAGAAGUAAAAGGACAUGAAUGUAACAUGACAAGGACACAUAUAUAACUAUCAAACAUGAACAGAGGGAAGAAACAAGGUUGUAGGACAGAAUAUAUGUAUCAUAUCAAAGACACACACAUAUGUAUAUAAAUCACACACAUUUAUCUCACAAGAACUUGAACUAAUACGUGGACUACAAAACUGAAUAUAUUUCUACAGAAAAGGGAACGCACUGUGACAACACAUACAUGAACUGGAAUUAAAAUACAAAGGGUGAACACGCAUAAGUUCUAACAGAACACUAAUUACCAAGACAAAAUGUUAGACAUCACUUUGUUUCGAAAGAAAAGAAAUCCACUAUUCAGAACAUAGAAUUCAUGACAUGAUAUUUAACAAGUACGAACUGAACAAAAUAAUUGGUUGCAAACACUUAUCAAAAUCUGAACCUUACAAGUCCUACACCACUCCUAUUACAGAAAAUUCAGAGUACAGUAGCAAGAGAAGGGAGAGAUUCAAAGAUUAAUUCCUAGUAAAUCUUCAGGCUUGCAGCUGUAGAUGGUGUAGGUGAUGGAGAAGAUCAGCAGGGGGCGAGUUGGAGAAGGAGAGGUACAGCAGCAGAGGGCAGAGCAGCAGUGAG